rnacentral:rRNA from 1 species
CAGUAGCCACGGGAAUACGGAGGGUGCAAGCGUUAAUCGGAAUUACUGGGCGUAAAGCGCACGCAGGCGGUCUGACAAGUUAGAUGUGAAAUCCCCGGGCUUAACCUGGGAACUGCAUUUGAAACUGUCAGGCUGGAGUCUUGUAGAGGGGGGUGGAAUUCCAGGUGUAGCGGUGAAAUGCGUAGAGAUCUGGAGGAAUACCGGUGGCGAAGGCGGCCCCCUGGACAAAGACUGACGCUCAGGUGCGAAAGCGUGGGGAGCAAACAGGAUUAGAUACCCCGGUAGUCCCCGUCUCUUAUAC